GACGAACCGUGCGAACGUUGUUCGGAUUCAUUGGGCGUAAAGGGUGCGUAGGCGGCGCGGUAAGUCGGGUGUGAAAUCUUGGAGCUUAACUCCGAAACUGCAUUCGAUACUGCGGUGCUUGAGGACUGGAGAGGAGACUGGAAUUCAUGGUGUAGCAGUGAAAUGCGUAGAGAUCAUGAGGAAGACCAGUGGCGAAGGCGGGUCUCUGGACAGUUCCUGACACUGAGACACGAAGGCCAGGGGAGCAAACGGG
rnacentral:rRNA from 1 species